GACAACUGUUUUUAGAAGAAUGGUAGGAGGGCUUUCAGAACCAGGCCACAGAGUUUUAUAUCAGUUACGAUUUUGUGAUCCUUUCUUGGCUUAGUAAGCUUCAUAUGAAUGCUUUGUUGGCAUUUCUAGUUUGAUUUGAAAAUUCUUCCUACACUCCAUCUGAUAAUUCUAUCUUGGGAUUUCUAAAUAUAUCACUAUGCUCCUGGACAUUCCAGGUGACAUUCACCACAGCAGAGAGAGAAUGGGAGGGAGGAUGGAAUUCUUUCCUAUACAAUUAAUUAGAUGCAUAACAAACCCCCCAAAAGACUAUUUGUUCUUAAAUUCUCCCCCUCCCCACAGGCCUCUUUCUGUUCACAAAGUAAUACCUCCAAUCUUUCGGUAUCUUAACAGUACCAACCUCCCUAUUGCCUGAGGAUUACUAUUUUCCUCUCAAAAAUUCUUUUAAAAAUAUAUACUCGUGGAUUUGGGGUCAAUAUACUAUAUGAAAAAAUAAAAUAAAAUAAAUGAUGCUUUACUUUGGGAGAGGCUUUCUGAUUCCAGGUUCUCUCAGUAAAAAACUCCUACUUUGCAUUUCAGUAUGGGUUCCAAAAAAAUUUGGAGCCAGAAAAGGGUCUAUUUUAUGGAGAUAGGGCUGUUCAUUAAUUCUGUGAAUAAUGGGAACCCUCCCCAAAAUGAAGUUGCCAGAUGUGCCAAGGACAAACCUUUUAAGUAGGUCUUCAAAGGAUAACAGUCAGGCCUACUCUUUUCUGCACAUACCAUCAGGGCUGAGAGAACCUAUGGAAGAUGUUGGGGUUAUUAUUAGCAACUUGGAGGAAAGGGUCCCACAGCACCAGAAACUAGAUCUCUGAUGGGAACAGCUUGGCUGGUGUUAGUCAUUAGGAAGCAUGGGACAGACAUAACCUCUAUCCCCAAACAUCCUGGAGCCUGGGACUCAGAUCUCCAAAGAGGAAGCAUUGGCUGAUGGUGGGCCAUCUGAGAGGGUAUCAUGAGGUCUUUUUGAUUCAGUCCUUCAGAAUACAUUUACAUACCUAGGCAACUGAAAUUUAAGGAUAUUAAGUAACUUAUACCAACUAGAAGGAAGCACAGUGUUAUGGUUUAGAUAUGAGAUGUCCUCUCCAAAUGUAUGUGUGAGACAAUGCAAGAAAGUUUAGAGAUGAAACAAUUGGUUAUGAGAAUCUUAACCUAAUCAGUUCAUUAAUCCACUUGAGUGGGUUAACUGAGUGGUAACUAUAGGUGGGUAGGAUGUAGCUGGAGGAGGUGGUUCAUUGGAGGCGUGUGCCUUUGGGAUAUCUAUUUUGUCCUGAUCUGCAGUUCUGCAGUGUGUCUGUGUCUGUCUCUCUGCUUCCUGGUCCCAAGUCCUGAGCUGCUUCCUUCCACCACACUCUUCCACCAUGAUGUUCUGCCUCAUCUUAGGCUCAAAGCAAUGGAGUCAGCCAUCUAUGGACUGAGACCUCUGAAAUCAAGAGGCCCAAAUAAACUUUUUCUACUCUGUUUUGUCCAGUCACAGCAAUGAAAAAGUUGACCAAAACACACAGAGAUAACAAGCAAAUCCACAUUUUCUGAUUGAGUCAGAAUGUUCUAACUGUAUGACUUAUUGAAAAAUGUAGCAGCAGCAGCAACCUUGUUAUACUAACAAUAUUUUCUUAAAAAAAAAAUCAAGUGAGUCAAAACUAGGAUUUUCUCUCUCUCUCUCUCUCUCUCUCUCUCUCUCUCUCUCUGUGUGUGUGUGUGUGUGUGUGUGUGUGUGACGUUGGGGAUCAAACCUAUGCUAGUCAAAUGUUUCUACCACAGAGCUACAUGCCCCGCCCCUCAAAACCAGAAAUUUGAGAAGAAAAUGGUAUAAUUAAUUACUGAGGGCCACAAAGUGUGACAACAUAGUUGGAGUUGUUCUUAGCUUUCCAGAUCAUACCCAGUAGAUCAAAAAAAUAGAUUCUUACUGGUUAUAUUCACAGCAUUUUAGCCAGUCCUAGAAUUCUCUUUUAGCUGCUCCCUGACACACACACGGCAGUUUCUAGAUCCUCUAAAACUCCAUGGUGUUUGUUACCUAUACUUUUUUCCCCCUAGAUGUCCUGUUUCCUACUGCUUCCUCAUCUCUAUUAUUUCUUUUAAUGGCCAACUCCUUCUCAUCCUAUGGGAUGAGAUUCAGUGUUACCUACCAUCUUAGUUUUUUUGUGUGUUGUCAGAACCAAAUACCAUAGACUGGGUGAUUUAUUUUAAAAAGAGGUUUAUUUGGCUCUCAAUUCUGGUGGCCAGAAAAUCCAAGCAACAUGGUGCCAGCAUCUGGUGUAGAGUCCUGGUUAUGUCACAAUGUGGCAGAGAAGUGGAAGGUGAAACCUGGCACAUACAAUGAGAGAGAGGUCAUGUGGUGAGAGAGGAAGAAGCCUGGGAGAGGCCAAGCUUGCUCUUUUAUAACUUCCUUGAUAGAAUUAAUCCACUUCUGUGAGAUCUAACCCAUCCUGCAAGACCAUGCCUUCAUGAAGACAGUCAGGACUCACUUCCCACAAGGCCCAGCAUCUAAAGGUCACCACCUUAUCAAUACUACUAUACUGUGGAAAAAGCUUCCAGCACAUGAAAAUCUGGGAAACAAACCACAGCAGCAACUCAGGAAAUCUCCCUCAAGAAGUAGAUUUGAGGUUACCAGGAGUCCAGAGGAAAAGGAAAUAGGAAGUCAUUGUUUAAGGUCAGAGUUGGGUUUGGGGCAAGAAGAAAAUAAGCUUGGAUAUAGAUAGUAAUGAAAAUUACACAACAGUUUGAAUAUAAUUAGGGCCACUGAAUUUUAUAAUUAAAAUGCAUAUUUACAUAAUUUUAACACACACAUAAAGGGAGGUGUAAGCUGGGCAUAGUGGUGUCCACCUGUAGUCCCCAGCUAUCAGGGAGGUUGAGGGAGGAGGAUCACUUGAGUCUAGGAGUUCAAGACUAGCCUUGGAAAGACAGUGACACCCUGUCUCAAAAAAAAAA
rnacentral:lncRNA from 1 species